rnacentral:rRNA from 1 species
CCAAUAGCGUAUAUUAAAGUUGUUGCAGUUAAAAAGCUCGUAGUUGAAUUUCGGGAUCAGUUUGUUGGUCGUGCUUCGGUACGUACUGUCAUUACUGGUUUCUACCUUCUGAAGAACCUUGAUGUCAUUAAUUUGGUGUCUUGGGGAAUCAGGACUGUUACUUUGAAAAAAUUAGAGUGUUUAAAGCAAGCAUACGCUUGAAUACAUUAGCAUGGAAUAAUGAAAUAGGACGUUUGAUUCUAUUUUGUUGGUUUCUAGGAUCGACGUAAUGAUUAAUAGGGAUAGUUGGGGGCAUUAGUAUUCAAUUGUCAGAGGUGAAAUUCUUGGAUUUAUUGAAGACUAACUACUGCGAAAGCAUUUGCCAAGGAUGUUUUCAUUAAUCAAGAACGAAAGUUAGGGGAUCGAAGACGAUCAGAUACCGUCGUAGUCUUAACCAUAAACUAUGCCGACUAGGGAUCGGAUGAUGUUAUUUUUAAUGACUCAUUCGGCGCCUUACG